UGGUGGAGUGAUUUGUCUGGUUAAUUCCGAUAACGAACGAGACCUCAGCCUGCUAACUAGCUACGCGAAGGUCUUCCUUUGCGGCCAGCUUCUUAGAGGGACUAUUCGCGUCUAGCGGAUGGAAGUUUGAGGCAAUAACA
rnacentral:rRNA from 1 species